UGUCUUAUUGGAUAACUUUUAGUGUCUUUGAGUUUGGAACAAGGACUUUUAAACAUCGUGGAAUUUCCAGAGGUUGCAGAUGCUGCUUCGUACCACCAUGAAAACCUACUUAUAUCCAAUUCAGCUGAGGCAAGCAACUGAAGAAGCCAGUAAUGGGAAUUGCAAAGUUAUGUUCGCUAGCAUGCACUUGAAUCUUUUUAUGUGGUGCGACUCUGAACAUGGAUGGUGCAUUGAUGUACACGUUGCAUGCUGAGAGCAGGUACUGUCUCCUGAUACUGAACUGGAGGAGUGUGGUCGCGUUGACAAGACCUUCAAGUUCAUCAUAGCAUGGUCUCGUCUUUAGACUUUUGACCC